UAGUCCACGCCGUAAACGAUGGAUACUAGUUGUUGGAUUUUCGGAUUCAGUGACUAAGCGAAAGUGAUAAGUAUCCCACCUGGGGAGUACGGUCGCAAGAUUGAAACUCAAAGGAAUUGACGGGGGCCCGCACAAGCGGUGGAGCAUGUGGUUUAAUUCGAUGAUACGCGAGGAACCUUACCAGGGCUUAAAUGUAAGUUGCAUAGAGUAGAGAUAUUCUUUUCUUCGGACUACUUACAAGGUGCUGCAUGGUUGUCGUCAGCUCGUGCCGUGAGGUGUCAGGUUAAGUCCUAUAACGAGCGCAACCCCUACCGUUAGUUGCCAGCAUGUAAAGAUGGGGACUCUAGCGAGACUGCCGGCGCAAGCCGCGAGGAAGGUGGGGAUGACGUCAAAUCAUCAUGGCCUUUAUGCCCAGGGCUACACACGUGCUACAAUGGACAGGACAAAGGGUCGCCAAACCGCGAGGUGGAGCUAAUCCCAGAAACCUGUUCUCAGUUCGGAUUGAAGU
rnacentral:rRNA from 1 species